AAUUAAAAGUUAAAACAAAAUCACUUCCAAAAUCCCUAACUAAGCCCGUGCCCUCCCUCCUCCCUUUUUUCCCCAAUUCGAAAAUCUUCACCUCCGGUCCACCCUCCUCCACCAAUCCACCUCCGGUCCUCCACGGCUGACGGCUCCACCCAAUUCCAAAAUCAGAGUACCUUGAUUUGAGCUCUGCCUCUGCGAAUCUUUCUAAAGCAAUUGAUUGGGUACAGGAAAUGAUAUUCAACCUACCCACCGAUUAGUUUCCUUCUGCUUGAUGGACUCAGCUUUAGCUGCUUGAAGUUUGUUGCAAAGGUUACAACUUGCUAAACGCAUCAGAAUUUCAGUUUUUACUUUUUCCGUGUUUCGUCAUGUAUUUAGUGGCACUGCUGCCGAUUUGGCAAUAUUUUAGCUUCAAAUUUCUUUUUCUUCAUUUCCUUCUUAACAAAUGAAAAGAAAAGGAGAAAGAAAUGCAGAAAAAGUAAACAAACACAGAUUUGGUACCAUUUUAAAAGUUAAUAUUCAUGGCCUAUGUGUUACCCUAAAUGUCAUUAGUUUCUACUCUCUGCCUUCACCAAUAAGCGAGUACCUGAAGAUGUAUAAAAUAGGGAACACAAUAAUAUCAUGCUGGUUUGUAAUGCCUUCUUUGUCCAGAAAA